UGGGGAAUAUUGCACAAUGGGCGAAAGCCUGAUGCAGCAACGCCGCGUGAGUGAUGAAGGUCUUCGGAUUGUAAAGCUCUGUCUUUUGGGACGAUAAUGACGGUACCAAAGGAGGAAGCCACGGCUAACUACGUGCCAGCAGCCGCGGUAAUACGUAGGUGGCGAGCGUUGUCCGGAUUUACUGGGCGUAAAGGGUGCGUAGGCGGAUGUUUAAGUGAGAUGUGAAAUACCCGGGCUUAACUUGGGUGCUGCAUUUCAAACUGGAUAUCUAGAGUGCAGGAGAGGAGAAUGGAAUUCCUAGUGUAGCGGUGAAAUGCGUAGAGAUUAGGAAGAACACCAGUGGCGAAGGCGAUUCUCUGGACUGUAACUGACGCUGAGGCACGAAAGCGUGGGUAGCAAACAGGAUUAGAUACCCUGGUAGUCCACGCCGUAAACGAUGAGUACUAGGUGUAGGAGGUAUCGACCCCUUCUGUGCCGCAGUAAACACGUUAAGUACUCCGCCUGGGAAGUACGAUCGCAAGAUUAAAACUCU
rnacentral:rRNA from 1 species